GCUCCUACGGGGGGCAGCAGUGAGGAAUAUUGGUCAAUGGGCGCGAGCCUGAACCAGCCAAGUCGCGUGAGGGAAGACGGUCCUAUGGAUUGUAAACCUCUUUUGUCGGGGAGCAAAAGACGCCACGCGUGGCGUUCCGAGAGUACCCGAAGAAAAAGCAUCGGCUAACUCCGUGCCAGCAGCCGCGGUAAUACGGAGGAUGCGAGCGUUAUCCGGAUUUAUUGGGUUUAAAGGGUGCGUAGGCGGUCCGUUAAGUCAGCGGUAAAAUUGCGGGGCUCAACUCCGUCGAGCCGUUGAAACUGGCA
rnacentral:rRNA from 1 species